CAGCCUGACCCUCUGAGAUGAGGAUGUCCACAUUGGCUGGUGAGAAGGUGACAAGAAUAAUUUUAUUUCAAACCCUUCCUGGAUAAAUACAUUCAUCCU